rnacentral:lncRNA from 1 species
ACAAUACCAGUUGUAGCAUGGAUAUUGAUGCUGGUAGCCAGGAAGAGGGAAAAAAUGUUCUCGCGGCUGCUGCUACAAGUGUAGAUGUAGGGAACACACCUGUAUCUUCAGAUCAAGCUGUCUCGAAUGAAGGGAGUGAUGCGGUUCACGCACCUGUAUCUUCAGAUCAAGCUGUCUCGAAUGAAGGGAGUGACGCGGUUCACGCACCUGUAUCUUUGGAUCAAGCUGCGCCAAAUGAAGAGAGCGGCGCGGUUCCUGAAUAAAACAUCUUCCGCAUACCUCAUAUGCAGCGGAUGUCACUAGCAUGAUGCCAAAGGUGACUACUGAACACUAGCUCGCGUGCCAUGUUUGUUUUGUUAAUUUUCGUUUUGACUCUCUGCUGGUCUGAACAUUUGUGGAAGUAAAACCUGAUAUUUACAGUUUUCUAUUGAAAAUAUGAACUUGAGGAAACAGGUCAUCCCGCUAACGCUGCUUUUGAC